AGCUCCAAUAGCGUAUAUUAAAGUUGUUGCGGUUAAAAAGCUCUUAGUUGGAUCUCGGCAGCCAGGGGGCGGUUCGCUCCAAAGCGUGACUGCCCCAUUUGGCUGUGUGAUUGGCGGAGGUUCCGGGGUGCUCUUCGUUGAGUGUCCCGGUGCGCCGUCAGGUUUACUUUGAAAAAAUUAGAGUGCUCAAAGCAAGCUUACUGCUUGAAUAGUUGCGCAUGGAAUAAUAGAAUAGGAAGUCGUUUCUAUUUUGUUGGUUUUCGGAAAUCGACUUAAUGAUUAAUAGGGAUAGUCGGGGGCAUUCGUAUUCAAACGACAGAGGUGAAAUUCUUGGACCGUUUGAAGACGAACUAAGGCGAAAGCAUUUGCCAAGAAUGUUUUCA
rnacentral:rRNA from 1 species